rnacentral:lncRNA from 12 species
GUGGGGGCUUUGGGCAGCACCGUGGGAAGCUGACACCUGAAAUCACCAUGUAUGGCCUGUGGGGUUGCUGGGCUUCUUGUGAUUUUUUUUUUUUUUUUUUUUUUUUGCAUACCCCAGGGAUCCAGAUGGCUGAGGUUACUGGGUGAGUGGCUCUGGGCCCAGAAAGAUGCUGCUGUGCUUCUUCAUUCUUGCCCCGUAGACUGUGCUACCCCAGAUCCAAGGAGGCCAAGAUCCUCCUCGGGGAAGCAUGUCCAGGCCUGGGGAUGGGGCUGCAGGAGGAGCAGCCUCGUCCGGGCUCUGUGUGGACAACAAGUGACCACGAGCGUCCUGAUUUCCGACCACAUAAAACAGAAGUCCCAAACUCAGCGUGUCGGCCGGGCUGUGCUCCUUCUGGACACUGUAAGAAGAAUCUGUUCUGUCUUUUUCUGCAUCUGGAGGUGCCUUCAUCCCUGGGUUUAUGACCUCUGCCUCCAUCUUCAAAGUGGGCAGGGACGCAGCCUCAACCCCCUCCCUCUUCCUUCUUUCAAGGGCCCUGUGGUGAUGCUGUGCUUGCUCAGAUGACCCAAGACAAUCUCCCUGUUUUAAAAUUUGUAACCCAAUUGCACCUGCCACGUCCCUUCUGCUAUGUAAGGUCACAUACUGGCAGGUUCCAGGGAUUCAAACGGAGAUGUCCUUUGGGGCCAUUAUUCUGACGACCAUAGACGUCUGGGACGACCCUCCCCACCCCGCACUCGGCUACCUCCACCCAGAUCCUUGCCUCAGGCUCUGCCUCUGGAGGACUCAAACCCACCAGAUGCACGCUGCCCCUCGGCCCUUGCAGCUUCCUUGUCCUGUCCUAUAGGGAACCCAUGUGGGAUGUCUGUGUGGCACCUGACCUCAUGCUGCCGCCAUGCCCACCUGCAUCCUAGCGCACCCCCAUCAGCCGGUGUUCCCGGUGGCCCUGGAGUUUCCCCUCUGGAAGAGCAAGUUUUGUCUCCAAGUUGAUCCUGACGGCCUAUUCACCUUACAGGAAAGACCCCAAAUGAGGAAACAUUGGCUGCUUUCCCUGAACCUCCCAGCGCCCCUCUGCCUACUGUAGCUGGGAUCCCCAGGCUGCCAGGGUGCCUGAGACUGAGCGGACACCCUGCUCAGCUGAGGUGACCAGGCCACAGGACAGCGGGGCCUCUCUUGGUAGAGGGAAGAUUUUUUCCUACACUCCUGGGCCUGGGAGUUGAAUCUGGCUGCCCCAGUACAAAACCCAGCUCUUCCACUCCCUAGCUGGGUGACACUGGGCCAAUCAUUUCAUUUCCCUAAGCCUGCACUUUCCCAUCUGAGAAAUGGGACAGUAUUUACCUAGUCCAGGGAUGGUGCCGCAGAAGCCAAAGCUGCACUUGAGGAGAAGGCAGCGGCGGGAUUGGCCACAGCUCCACCAAGUCUGGACUUUAUCUUGAAAGUCCCUUGAGGCUUUCAUGACAUUGCUCAACUGGAG